UACGGGGGAUGCAAGCGUUAUCCGGAAUCAUUGGGCGUAAAGCGUCUGUAGGUUGUUUAAUAAGUCUGUUGUUAAAGACUAGGGCUCAACCCUAGAAAAGCAAUGGAAACUACUAGACUUGAGUAUGGCAGGGGUAGAGGGAAUUUCUAGUGUAGCGGUGAAAUGCGUAGAUAUUAGAAAGAACACCAGCGGCGAAAGCGCUCUACUGGACCAUUACUGACACUCAGAGACGAAAGCUAGGGUAGCAAAAGGGAUUAGAUACCCCUGUAGUCCUAGCCGUAAACGAUGGAUACUAGGUGUCGGGGGAUCGCCCCGGUGUCGUAGCUAACGCGUUAAGUGUUCCGCCUGGGGAGUACGCACGCAAGUGUG
rnacentral:rRNA from 1 species